AUAAGGUAGAGAAAUUGUUGUCU
rnacentral:miRNA from 1 species